UGAAAAAGAAAGAGAAAGCGUGAGAACCUCAGUAGAUCAAGCAAAAGUUACAGACAAAGAGAGAAACAUUCAGAGCUUCAGACGCCUGCAGAGAAGAUGGAGAUGAAGACGAGCUGUGUGUGUUUAGUCCUGGGGUUGGUCCUGCUGAUGACCGUCUCCUCAGAUGCUAACCCGAUUUCCCUUAACCAUCCUGAUCUGUGCUGCUUCAGAUUCACCUAUUUUAAAAUUCCAGAAGAAGAAAUCCUAAACAUUGAAAAAUCCCAUUCCAACUGCCCAAAGAACGGCUAUGUCUUUACAACGCCACAAGGCAGGAUCUGCAGGGAAACCGUCUAGCAUCCUGAAGGGAAACAAGAUGUCAGUGGUGCAACUUCCAGAAGACCCGGACACACCAUGAAGACUACCUAAACGCAAAAGCUUUGCAUGAGCCUGCAUCAUAUGAUUUUUUGUCAGUCGUUUUAAUUAUCAAUGCAUUUUAAGGCUGGAGAUUAAACUGUAACAAUGCAUGGUGUAAAAAAUAAGUCAUUAAUAUUGUCUUAGUAAAUAGACAUUUUAGAUAUAGAUUUACUCAUUGCCUCGCUUCAGUUUAGUCACUGCUAAUUCCCUCCGGCAGAUCUUAAUUCCCUCUCGGGUUUCUGACAAUGCACACCUGGGGCGUUGUUGUGAGUUCACUUAUGAGCUACUAAAUGCCUUGUGAAUAACAGUUAAGACAUAAGAACAAAAGUCCCCUGUCAGACUGAUUAAAACAGGUAAAUAACUGGAUGCACAAGGUUGUGCGGAUAGCCAAUUAGCAUGGAACUGACUAAAUCCUCUUCCUUCUUGGCUCUGCAGCAGUGGAGUUUUGCCAGAAGAGCCAGUGACACAAUACCAGAGGGUGUUAAGCUAAAACAGAUUGUGCGAAUUACUGUGGAGAGGCCAGAUUGAUGUUAGACAUGUUCUCACUAUCAGCACCGAAGAGAACGUCCCGCACCUGUGAGAUGUUAUGAAGGUGAUAAUACUGCUGUGAAUAGAGACAGGCCAACGUAUGUCUGGAGGAGGAGGAAGAAGCAUGCGUUGAAAAAGACACCCUGCCUGCAGUGAAGCACAGCGGUGGCUCGGUGAUGCUCUAGGGCUGCUUUGGUUCCCUUUUCCUGACUUCUGCCUUUCGACUGCGGUCAUGAGGACUCAGGGGAGCUGCUUCACCUGCUAGCUCCUGGGCCAGAACGGUGUCAGCUUCCUACCCGUUCUGGGGUAAUACCCAAACUUUGGGUAAUUUCCACCGCAAGGACUGGUCAAAGGCUGGACUACCUCGAAGUACUGGGUGUUUAUUGCAGACAGCUUAAGCAUAACACACAAAUGAACCGAGUGGCUGUGUUAAAUGAAAGAAAAGGGGGUGGAGGUGUGAGAGGGAAGAGUUUGCGUGUUGCUCGAGGCUACAGCACACGGCGACUACAACAACAGGCACCACAAUAUCCAUAAUGCAAUGCGUCCCCAAAACAUUAACCUCUUACAUUGCCAACAUUUUGCGUCCUCUGGCACUGGACACCUGCAGUGUGUGGAGGGCAAGAUGGAUUCAAUACAGUGUCAGAAAUUCCUAGGAGAAAACGAGCCUUCUGUGAGGAAGCUGAAGCUUGGGUGUCACUGGAUCUUCCAACAGGACAGUGAUCCCUAGUAAAACAGACAGAAUUACUGUGGAUUGGCCAGACUGAUGCUGGUAACUCAAGCUCCUUUGCCUUCACCUUCCACUGAAUGGUGAUCUGUGAGGGGCUCAGACAGUACUGGAGCUCAUCAACAGCCCAUUAGAUAGAGAGAGCUUCUCUAUCCACAGCAGAAUUAUCACCUUCGUAACAUCUCAACGGUUCGGGAUGUUCUCUUCUUUGCCGAUAGUAAGACCCAAGAGCUCUGUUGCAUGCCUGAAGAGAGGUCUUGACCUGAGGAACCACAUUGCACCAGCCCUCCAAUCCCGUGAUUUAUUGAUCUUCCUCGAUCCACCAAUCAUCGCUCCAGUUCCCCUGAAUGCUGAUCUGUUACACCUGCGCUGUCUGUCAUGUGACUAUCCUAGUUUAGUAUAGAAGCCUGGGCUCUAGAGUGGUAUAGUUGCGAGGUACUGCUUCUCUUGUAGACCUACUGUACUGUUCGACUUUGUUUUUGGUUGCCCUUUCUUGUGCAUUGGACUCUUUUCCUGGAUUACUCGUCAUUGUCUUUUUUGUCUUUGCCCUUCUGGUUAUGCUUACACUGUUUUGCCUUUUUGCUAUUUUGGAUUUGACCUAUGCCUGUAUGAUGACCACGAUUCUUGCCAAUGCUGUUUCAAUUAAAGCCUCAUCUCUUGGUUUUUAC